UACGUAGGGUCCGAGCGUUGUCCGGAAUUACUGGGCGUAAAGAGCUCGUAGGCGGUCUGUUGCGUCGGCUGUGAAAACCCGGGGCUCAACUCCGGGCCUGCAGCCGAUACGGGCAGACUAGAGUUCGGCAGGGGAGACUGGAAUUCCUGGUGUAGCGGUGAAAUGCGCAGAUAUCAGGAGGAACACCGGUGGCGAAGGCGGGUCUCUGGGCCGAUACUGACGCUGAGGAGCGAAAGCGUGGGGAGCGAACAGG
rnacentral:rRNA from 1 species